rnacentral:snRNA from 1 species
AGAUGAUCUGGCCGAAGCAUUGCCAGGGUCGAUUCAGCAGACCUGGAGGGUGGGUGCCCUCUUCCUCUCCACAGCAGCUGAUGAGUAGCUGCCCUUGCUCCCUGCUAGAAUCUCCAAACAAGCUCUCAUGGUCUAUUUGUAGGCAGACAUUGGGCAGUCAAGCCUUCAAGACUCCAGCUUUUGUGCCACAAUAAAAUUAUGUGAAAUUCUAUAUGA